AACGAACGCUGGCGGCAUGCCUAAAACAUGCAAGUCGAACGGGUGUAGCAAUACACCAGUGGCAGACGGGUGCGUAACACGUGGGAACCUACCCAGAGGUUCGGAAUAGCUGCGGGAAACUGCAGGUAAUACCGGAUGUUGCCUGAGGGCUAAAGGAGCAAUCCGCCUUCGGAGGGGCCCGCGUCCGAUUAGCUAGUUGGUGAGGUAACGGCUCACCAAGGCGACGAUCGGUAGCUGGUCUGAGAGGAUGACCAGCCACACUGGAACUGAGAUACGGUCCAGACUCCUACGGGAGGCAGCAGUUGGGAAUAUUGGACAAUGGGGGAAACCCUGAUCCAGCAAUGCCGCGUGGGUGAUGAAGGCCUUCGGGUUGUAAAGCCCUUUUGGCGGGGACGAUGAUGACGGUACCCGCAGAAUAAGCCCCGGCUAACUUCGUGCCAGCCGCCGCAGUAA
rnacentral:rRNA from 1 species